rnacentral:rRNA from 1 species
GACGAACGCUGGCGGCGUGCUUAACACAUGCAAGUCGAACGGAAAGGCCCGGCUUUUGUGGGGUGCUCGAGAGGCGAACGGGUGAGUAAAACGUGAGUAACCUGCCCUUGACAUUGGGAUAACUUCAGGAAACUGGGGCUAAUACACGAUAGGAGCUUCUGCUGCAUGGGGGUGGUUGGAGAGAGUCGGCGGUGGGGGAUGGACUGGCGGCUUAUCCGCUGGAUGGUGGGGUAGUGGCUGACCAAGGCCGUGACGGGUAGCCGGCCUUGGAGCGUGGCCAGCGACCUUGGGCCUGAGAUACGGCCCAGACUGCUACGGGAGGCAGCGGUGGGGAGUCUUGCGCAGUGGCCCGGCGCCAGAUGCAGCGGCGCCCCGUUCGUGAUGACGGCCUUCGGGUUAUAAACCGCUGUCGCAUGUGCCGAAGAGUGAGUGACGGUAAUGGGUAAAGAAGCACCGGCUAACUACGUG